UGCGCAGGCGGUUCGAUAAGUCAGAGGUGAAAUCUGCCGGCUUAACCGGCAAAUUGCCUCUGAAACUGUCGUGCUUGAGUCCGAGAGAGGAAAGUGGAAUUCCUGGUGUAGCGGUGAAAUGCGUAAAUAUCAGUAGGAACACCGGUGGCGAAGGCGACUUUCUGGCUCGGUACUGACGCUGAGGCACGAAAGCUAGGGGAGCGAACG
rnacentral:rRNA from 1 species